rnacentral:rRNA from 1 species
GACGUAGGAGGCGAGCGUUGUCCGGAUUCAUUGGGCGUAAAGAGCGCGCAGGCGGCUUGGUAAGUCGGAUGUGAAAUCCCGAGGCUCAACCUCGGGUCUGCAUCCGAUACUGCCCGGCUAGAGGUAGGUAGGGGAGAAUGGAAUUCCUGGUGUAGCGGUGAAAUGCGCAGAUAUCAGGAGGAACACCGGUGGCGAAGGCGGUUCUCUGGGACGGUACUGACGCUGAGGAGCGAAAGCGUGGGGAGCGAACAGG